GCACAAUUGCCAACUCAGCCGGAAAACUCGCCGAAGAUAUGACUCGAAACCCACGUGCCCGUGAUGUUCUCUAUGAUGGAGAUUGGAUUGAGAUGGAACAUCCGGUGAA
rnacentral:ribozyme from 1 species